AGGGCGCACGGUGGAUGCCUUGGCACUAGGAGCCGAUGAAGGACGGGACUAACACCGAUAUGCUUUGGGGAGCUGUAAGUAAGCUAUGAUCCAGAGAUUUCCGAAUGGGGGAACCCAAUAUCUUUUAUAGGAUAUUACUUUUCAGUGAAUACAUAGCUGAUUAGAGGUAGACGCAGAGAACUGAAACAUCUUAGUACCUGCAGGAAGAGAAAGAAAAAUCGAUUCCCUGAGUAGCGGCGAGCGAAACGGGAAGAGCCCAAACCAACAAGCUUGCUUGUUGGGGUUGUAGGACUCCAAUAUGGUAGUCUGUUAGUAUAGUUGAAGGAUUUGGAAAAUUCCGCUAAAGAGGGUGAAAGCCCCGUAGACGAAAUGCUAACAACACCUAGGAGGAUCCUGAGUACGGCGGAACACGAGAAAUUCCGUCGGAAUCCGCGGGGACCAUCCCGCAAGGCUAAAUACUCCCUAGUGACCGAUAGUGAACCAGUACCGUGAGGGAAAGGUGAAAAGCACCCCGGAAGGGGAGUGAAAUAGAUCCUGAAACCGUGUGCCUACAACAAGUCAAAGCUCGUUAAUGAGUGAUGGCGUGCCUUUUGUAGAAUGAACCGGCGAGUUACGAUUGCAUGCGAGGUUAAGUCGAAGAGACGGAGCCGCAGCGAAAGCGAGUCUGAAUAGGGCGAAUGAGUAUGUAGUCGUAGACCCGAAACCAUGUGAUCUACCCAUGUCCAGGUUGAAGGUGCGGUAAAACGCACUGGAGGACCGAACCCACGUACGUUGAAAAGUGCGGGGAUGAGGUGUGGGUAGCGGAGAAAUUCCAAACGAACUUGGAGAUAGCUGGUUCUCUCCGAAAUAGCUUUAGGGCUAGCCUCGGAAUUGAGAAUGAUGGAGGUAGAGCACUGUUUGGACUAGGGGCCCAUCUCGGGUUACCGAAUUCAGAUAAACUCCGAAUGCCAUUCAUUUAUAUCCGGGAGUCAGACUGCGAGUGAUAAGAUCCGUAGUCGAAAGGGAAACAGCCCAGACCACCAGCUAAGGUCCCAAAAUAUAUGUUAAGUGGAAAAGGAUGUGGGGUUGCACAGACAACUAGGAUGUUGGCUUAGAAGCAGCCACCAUUUAAAGAGUGCGUAAUAGCUCACUAGUCGAGUGACCCUGCGCCGAAAAUGUACCGGGGCUAAACAUAUUACCGAAGCUGUGGACUACACCAUUAGGUGUAGUGGUAGGAGAGCGUUCUAAGGGCGUUGAAGGUCGAUCGUGAGGACGGCUGGAGCGCUUAGAAGUGAGAAUGCCGGUAUGAGUAGCGAAAGACAGGUGAGAAUCCUGUCCACCGUAUGACUAAGGUUUCCUGGGGAAGGCUCGUCCGCCCAGGGUUAGUCGGGACCUAAGCCGAGGCCGAUAGGCGUAGGCGAUGGACAACAGGUUGAUAUUCCUGUACCAGUUGUUUUUGUUUGAACAAUGGAGGGACGCAGUAGGCUAAGGAAUGCAUGCGAUUGGAAGUGCAUGUCCAAGCAAUGAGUCUUGAGUAGAGUUAAAUGCUUUACUCUUUAAGGACAAGUUGUGACGGGGAGCGAAAUAAUAGUAGCGAAGUUCCUGAUGUCACACUGCCAAGAAAAGCUUCUAGUGAGAAAACAACUGCCCGUACCGUAAACCGACACAGGUAGUCGAGGAGAGUAUCCUAAGGUGAGCGAGCGAACUCUCGUUAAGGAACUCGGCAAAAUGACCCCGUAACUUCGGGAGAAGGGGUGCUGACUUCGGUCAGCCGCAGUGAAUAGGCCCAAGCGACUGUUUAUCAAAAACACAGGUCUCUGCAAAAUCGUAAGAUGAAGUAUAGGGGCUGACGCCUGCCCGGUGCUGGAAGGUUAAGAGGAUGGGUUAGCUUCGGCGAAGCUCAGAAUUGAAGCCCCAGUAAACGGCGGCCGUAACUAUAACGGUCCUAAGGUAGCGAAAUUCCUUGUCGGGUAAGUUCCGACCCGCACGAAAGGCGUAACGAUUUGGGCACUGUCUCAACGAGAGACUCGGUGAAAUUUUAGUACCUGUGAAGAUGCAGGUUACCCGCGACAGGACGGAAAGACCCCAUGGAGCUUUACUGUAGCUUGAUAUUGAAUGUUUGUGCUGCUUGUACAGAAUAGGUAGGAGACGUUGAAGAUUGGACGCUAGUCUAGUCGGAGUCGAAAUGUGGGAUACUACCCUCGUUGUAUGAACAUUCU
rnacentral:rRNA from 1 species